GCUUCUGGUUCGGCGGCGCCGCGGCCUCGGCCUCGGCCUCGGCCCCGUUGAUCCUGUGGAGGGAGGUCAUGGACGCGGAGCGGCGGCGGCGGAACAUGCCGUUGUAGAUGCCGAACAGGGCGCAGCCGGUCGGCGGGUCGCGCGGCUCCGUCAUGGCGACCAUGACCGUGGCGACGUUCGCGGCCGCGCGGCCCCGGCCCGCGGAGUGCUGCGUGGGGGCGGGGGGAAGGCAGGGGACGAUGUGGGGGGCAGUGCCAAAGAUGGAGAGGCAGCCAGGUGGUGUGCUGGGCGUUUGGUCCUGGUUGACAACCAACGAGGCAACGCAACGACGACGGGCUCCGGACAUGGGGUGGGAAUGUGGGGAGCACGGGGAUUUUUAAAGUUCUCAGUUUCUUCUCCUAUUAUUUUCAGUUUUUUUUUUUGGCUAUGCA
rnacentral:misc_RNA from 1 species